AUCCAUCUGACGAGUCUCAAAUAGGACGAAACGUGCGUCCUGGAU
rnacentral:hammerhead_ribozyme from 1 species